GGGCCCGCACAAGCGGUGGAGCAUGUGGUUUAAUUCGAUGCAACGCGAAGAACCUUACCAAGGCUUGACAUACUACAGAUUUCUUUGAAAAAGGAAAGUGCCUUCGGGAAUGUAGAUACAGGUGGUGCAUGGCUGUCGUCAGCUCGUGUCGUGAGAUGUUGGGUUAAGUCCCGCAACGAGCGCAACCCUUAUUUUUAGUUGUCUAAGCUUUAAGUUUAGGUUUUGUUCUAGAAAGACUGCCGGUGACAAACCGGAGGAAGGUGAGGAUGACGUCAAGUCAGCAUGCCCCUUAUGCCUUGGGCUACACACGUGCUACAAUGGUUAAGACAAAGAGUUGCGAGCUCGUGAGAGUCAGCU
rnacentral:rRNA from 1 species